rnacentral:pre_miRNA from 1 species
AUGUAGGGCAAUCUGUCUUCAGGUAGGGAUAAAUUACUCUCAAAGAAAGGAAUCCUAGAUAGUUUUCCCUUCAAGUCAAGCAUCUUAU